CCGCCACCAACGGGGCACCCGCGCUGGGCACAGAAGCUGUUUGGGAAUCAAGCUCUAUAACAGUAUUUCUGUGCAAUGAAUGCCAUGACUGGAAAGCAAAAACUGGGAACUGUUCCUUCUGUGAGUACCCCAGAGGUUACACAGAUCACAAGCAUCUCAGUAUUCACUGAUGAACUGUUUCCCUGGGAAAAGCCCUGAUAUGUCGCUUGGCUUCUGUAGCUGCCCUUGACUUAGCUCUCGUCACCUGUGCCGCAGCGGCAGGGCGAGGGCGGGCACGGCGGGGAAUGGCCGCGAGUUCAUCUCCUCAGCAGCCAGCAGGGGAAGCUGCUGCAUCGGUUUUCAGUGCAACUCACGAAUAGAAUUUCUGGUUAUUUUUAUAUCCACGGAU